rnacentral:rRNA from 1 species
CCUACGGGGGGCAGCAGUGGGGGAUAUUGCACAAUGGGGGAAACCCUGAUGCAGCGACGCCGCGUGGGUGAAGAAGCGCCUCGGCGCGUAAAGCCCUGUCAGCAGGGAAGAAAAUGACGGUCACUGCAGAAGAAGCCCCGGCUAACUACGAGCCAGCAGCCGAGGGAAUACGUAGGGGGCAGGCGGUAUCCGGAUUUACUGGGUGUAAAGGGGGCGCAGACGGCGAUGCAAGCCAGGAGUGAAAGCCCGGGGCACAACCCCGGGCCUGCUGUUGGAACUGCGUGGCUAGAGUGCAGGAGGGGCAGGCGGAAUGCCUGGUGUAGCGGUGAAAUGCGUAGAUAUCAGGAGGAACACCGGUGGCGAAGGCGGCCUGCUGGACUGCAACUGACGUUGAGGCCCGAAAGCGUGGGGAGCGAACAGGAUUAGAUACCCGUGUAGUC